rnacentral:rRNA from 1 species
UACGUACGGGAGGCAGCAGUGAGGAACCUUCCACAAUGGGCGAAAGCCUGAUGGAGCAACGCCGCGUGAAGGAUGAAGGCCUUCGGGUUGUAAACUUCUUUUAUGAGUGAAGAAUAUGACGGUAACUCAUGAAUAAGCACCGGCUAACUACGUGCCAGCAGCCGCGGUAAUCGUA